rnacentral:rRNA from 1 species
AACGAACGCUGGCGGCAGGCCUAACACAUGCAAGUCGAGCGAGAACUUCGGUUCUAGCGGCGGACGGGUUAGUAACGCGUGGGAAUAUGCCCUUCACUACGGAAUAGUCCCGGGAAACUGGGUUUAAUACCGUAUACGCCCUUCGGGGGAAAGAUUUAUCGGUGAAGGAUUAGCCCGCGUUGGAUUAGGUAGUUGGUGGGGUAAUGGCCUACCAAGCCGACGAUCCAUAGCUGGUUUGAGAGGAUGAUCAGCAACACUGGGACUGAGACACGGCCCAGACUCCUACGGGAGGCAGCAGUGGGGAAUCUUACACAAUGCGCGAAAGCCUGACGCAGCAACGCCGCGUGGGGGAAGAAGGCCUUCGGGUUGUAAAGCUCUUUCAGCUGGGAAGAUAAUGACGGUACCAGCAGAAGAAGCCCCGGCUAACUCCGUGCCAGCAGCCGCAGUAAUAC